GCAAGUCGGACGAGAAGGUUCCUUCGGGAACUGGAGAGUGGCGCACGGGUGAGUAACGCGUGGGGACCUACCUUUUAGUGGGGGAUAACGGUUGGAAACGACCGCUAAUACCGCAUACGCCCUUUUGGGGAAAGAUUUAUCGCUAAAAGAUGGACCCGCGUUGGAUUAGAUAGUUGGUGAGGUAACGGCUCACCAAGUCUUCGAUCCAUAGCUGGUUUGAGAGGAUGAUC
rnacentral:rRNA from 1 species